rnacentral:tRNA from 1 species
GGGGUCGUAGUUCAGAUGGAGAGAACGCCGGCCUGUCACGCCGGAGGUCGUGGGUUCAAGUCCCAUCGGCCCCG